rnacentral:lncRNA from 1 species
CAAGCCAAUAUCAUUUUUCCCUUGUUUGGACAACAAUGAAAGAAUCUCUAUUAAGAUGCUUUCCUCCAAGUUCCGGCUGUAUCAACAUUGAAAAACUAGGCCUCAGACAUCGUCACAGCCACCAGAAAGUCAUCUACUACAAAGAGAUCGUUCGACGGAGCACUGAAAGAGGUAACUGUGAAACCGAAACGACUUAUCUACCUAAUUACUCUAGAUAUCUGUCGAGAGAAAGAUAUCACGGCUUCAAAGGCUAUUCCGCUUGCCAAGCAGUGUUGUUCCCAUUAUAAAUAAAUACUCCAAAUCAAAAAAUAUUCCUAUGACAGCGUCGCCCACCAACUGGCUGAAGCACUGCUAAAUUUAGCUGUCCGUCGCUUUAAAGACCUAGAGAAGAACCCAGUCCUUGCCAAAGCACCAAUUCUAGAUGAUUACUUUGGAAAAAGCUCCUUACAUGAUUUGACUAAAGAAGAUGAUACUAUCCUUCAGCUUAAAAGAUAAAUGUUAGAGAUUGAUAAGGAGCAAACACCUGUCCAACAUUCCAUCCAGCAAGUGGAAGCUCCCUAACAAAAGUCAGCUGUAUGGGCCACCUUCCAAAGGACUGAGUCUCCAACUAAUCGACAAAUGUCAAAUACCAAAAUGGAGAUGCAGUCUUUCCUGUCCGAAUAGUUGGAUCCAGAAUGGAACUUCAGAAUUUUGCUAUUUUUAGGAAAAUUCUAAUUGUUGUUUAAUAAUUUAGAACCGGCAAAAUUUGAGGUUUCAGUUUCCUUUUAAGAACCGAGGGAAAAAUCGAUUUUAAGGCAAAAUUGCUAAUUAUAAGAACCAAGAAUCUAUUUUUCAGUUUCGGUAAAAAUCUUUUCCCAUCACUAGCGACAUAUAUAACAUUGAUAAGUGAAUAAGUUACAAUAGAGAUAUAUUUGUAGUAAUAAAUAUAACAAUGCUAGUAAUAAUAUUUUUUGAUGUUUUAGUACAGAAUGUGAAAUGUGUCAGAAACAUGUAAAUGUUCAGGAAAAUAAAGCUCAUUCAUUAAUUUAGGAAAAAAUGUCAAGAUAAAAAAAAGGAAAGGUGUCUAAAUGGAAAAAAUGCCAAGAUUCUUUUAAUCUGAUAUAAUAUCCAUCACCAAUAUAAUAUAUAAUAAGAGAAAUGAAAAAUGAACAAACACGACAAGGGUUCCAAUGGCAGGAUUGCUAAUCACUUAAUUCUCCGUUAUAAUUAACAAUAUCAUUAGACAUGAUGGACUAUUCAUAAUGGACAAUACUCUUGGAUUGACGGAUAAGCAUUUGCAAAAUACUACGUAAGAGCAGCGAUUUCCACUUCGUUAUGAUCCAGGAUGUGUCAGAAGAAGAGUUGGUUGGCUGUGGAGUGACAAACCACUAAGAGGAUUCGGGGAGGUAGUCACAGGUCGAGUCGUUGGAGAGUACGAGGAAAACUGUAAAGCUCAGUACAGUUGGAGCAACCUGAAAUUGCAAUAGAACGAUGGUCUUCGUCUCUUCAUAAACCUGCUUUCUUGCCCAAAGAGAACG